AACGAACGCUGGCGGCAGGCUUAACACAUGCAAGUCGAGCGCAUCCUUCGGGGUGAGCGGCAGACGGGUGAGUAACACGUGGGAAUCUACCCUUUGGUACGGAAUAACGCAGAGAAAUUUGCGCUAAUACCGUAUGUGUCCUCCGGGAGAAAGAUUUAUCGCCAAAGGAUGAGCCCGCGUCGGAUUAGCUAGUUGGUGUGGUAACGGCGCACCAAGGCGACGAUCCGUAGCUGGUCUGAGAGGAUGAUCAGCCACAUUGGGACUGAGACACGGCCCAAACUCCUACGGGAGGCAGCAGUGGGGAAUAUUGGACAAUGGGCGCAAGCCUGAUCCAGCCAUGCCGCGUGAGUGAUGAAGGCCUUAGGGUCGUAAAGCUCUUUCACCCACGACGAUAAUGACGGUAGUGGGAGAAGAAGCCCGGCUAACUUCGUG
rnacentral:rRNA from 1 species